CGCGCGCGCAGGCCCCAGCCCAGCCGCCCAGCAGGCUCCACAAGAAACACCCCACGCGGUUGAAAAGAGGAAGACCGCCGCUUUCCCGGAAGAUACGAGAAAGAGACAGGGAAGAUGACACAUCUGUAUCAAGCGAAAGAGGGCGCGGCCGACCGAGCACGGAAAGCCGCACGCGGCGCGCGUCGUACGACAUCGACAACAUCGUCAUACCGCAGAGCGUAGCCGCGGCCACGCGACCGCAGAUACUCACCUACAAAGAGAUCAUCACGCCCAAAUGGCGAGUGCUUGAGAUUCCCGAAGUGCCGCUAAACAAUGGGGUCUCCAAAUCAGACCGAUACUCGGUGGAAUCUGAUG